UCCGUGUUUAGGUAGUUAUAGAAGAGCUCAACACUUUCCCGAUUGCAGUAGAUUGCAGAUUUCCAAAUUUAUAGCAGAUUGCAAAUUUGCAGAUUUAUAGCAGAUUGCAGAUUUGCCGAUUUAUAGCUCAUUGGAGUAGCUAUAUCCAACUCAAAGUCCACUUCAGGCCAAAGAACAAGGGCAGCAGGAGAAAUAUCCAAAGAUACUCUAAUGCAGACAUGUAAAUCAGGAUAGCAGUGUGUAUAGGGCAAUGAUCUGAGCUCAAAAAAGGAAAAUGUGUAACUGUAGUGAGAGGCAUCUGAGUGAGCCAAUUGUCAUUUAUCAUAGCUUUGUCAAGCCUUUUCCAAACCACAUCAUUCAGACCUCUAUCAUUGCCCUCGUAGGUUUCAGAAGACAGAAAAUCCUUAAGAAAUCAACAACACAACAUCAUACUGCAAUUGAAAACCUUUAGAUAUUUCCAAGUGCGCAUCAGUUUGAAUUCACUAAAUGUAGAGCUACUUUAAAAUGUGCAUCGAGUUCCACAAGCGAUAAUAUAAACAUUUAUUAUUUUAGGGGUAGUGUAACAACUACACUGCAACACUAUCUUUUUUCUCCCUUUGACACCUUCAAUAGCUAGAAUCCUAAUGACUAUAUCUUAGACUUACAUAUUGUAGCAUGUUUUUGCUUUCACAGUAAAUGGAAGUAUUGCUCUUUAUAUUUCCAUACAUACAAAGCCAUGAAAGUUAAAUAGUGAACCAAAAAUCGCACUAUGAUAUAACUAAAUAAGAUACUUAUUUGUAAAGGGAUCUAGAGGAAAUUUUAUUACCAUAAAUUUACUUGGAUCCAUGUAAAAAUGCUAAAGAGAUUUCUUUAUGGGAUUCUUCUUCCAUAGGGCAAUGUAUAGUCUUGGCUGAACCUUAAGAAUAGCCACCAGUGCCUUCAACCUGCAAGAGACAAACAAAUAAUAAUGCAGCAGCAACCAUUAUUCUAGCAUUGAAGGUAACACGAUAAUUAUACGCUUGUAAAAAUUGACAGUCUUUCAAAGUUUAAGAGAUAAAGUAGCUUACUUUUACCAUAGAACAAACAGUUAACAAUAUGGAAACUAUAGAUUAAGUAGAAGCCCCAAAAUACAAUAGAAAAUAGUCAAGGAAAAACAUGCUAAAUUGGGAUCAGAACUCAAACAUCCUUGUUGGAGUCAAAUGGAGCAUAGAGGAUUGUAGAAUGCACCACUAACGGAUGGAUAUCUCUUUAUGUCGAUUAGAAGUGGUGAUAAAAUAAGUUCAUAAAAAAACAGAAAGUUUAGAUUUAACUCAUGAUUUUGACUAGACUAACUUUGAAAAUGUUCCUCAUAUAGUUAUGAUCUUGCUUGCUUCGAAUGUAUAGUCUUGGCUGAACCUUAAGAAUAGCCACCAGUGCCUUCAACCUUCAAGAGACGAACCAAUAAUAAUGUAGAAGCCACCAUUAUCCUAGCAUUAAAGGUAACACGAUAGUUAUACGCUUGUAAAAAUUGACAGUCUUUCAAAGUUUAAGAGAUAAAGUAGCUUACUUUUACCAUAGAACAAACAGUUAACAAUUUGGAAAGUAUAGAUUAAGUAGAAUCCCCAAAAAAUAGUUGAAAAUAGUCAUGGAAAAACUUGCUAAAAUUGGGAUCAGAACUCAAACAUCCUUGUUGGAGUCAAAUGGAGCAUAGAGGAUUGUAGAAUGCACAGUAAAGGAAGAAUAUCUCUUUAUGUCGAUUAGAAGUGGUGAUAAAAUAAGUUCAUAAAAAAAUAGAAAGUUCAGAUUUAACUCAAGAUUUUGACUAGACUAACUUGGAAAAUGCUCCUCAUAUAGUUAUGAUCUUGCUUGCUUUGAUAAGAUUAAACAGAUAAAUGCAAGAGCUUAAAACAUAACAACAAUUUAAUUAGAGAAUUUCUCACGGAAGUAUUGGUUAUAAUGAAACUGAAAAGUAACAAAUAAGGAAGAUUCAUUGUAUUUCUACCCUAAAAAAUGUUCGUAUUAAGAGAACAAUUGAGGCUAAGAUAGUGCAUGAUUCAUUGCCUAGAGAGGUCAUCAGAAAAACUUAUGUGGCUUUGUACAAUACACAUGUUUAUGGACAUUGAGAAAUCCAAACUUAAAAAAUGGAAAAUAGCAUAAGCACUUAGCAUGGGCUCUUUUUUAUCUGGUUCUUAUCAACGUAAUCUUGGUGAAUAAGAGAACCAUUUGCAGUAAAUACAGUCCUCUUAACUUGUUGUAAGAAAAUAAGAACUCUAACAUCUUGAUCAGCGAAGCACUAUUAACUUCAGGGUCUUCAUAGCACAUUGUGCUUACAUAUGAUAGAAGCAACUAUUGUGAUUAUGAGACAAUAUUAUGUCAAUAUAUUCCUUCAUAAGAUUCAAGCCAAAUGUGCUUACUUGUUUAUAGAGCAGCAAGUGACAGUGGUAUAGUAGCAGCAAGAGUUUGUAGAAUCACCUACAUGAUCCAUCACAUUUUGUUUAAAAAAUUGCAAUAGAAACUAAGAAGGGGAAAAAUUGAAGAGAUACAAUAACAAAGUCUACUUUGCCAAUGAAAUAGUAUACAUAUGAGCUAAGUGUUAUAUGAAGGAAAUAAAGAAUUAGCAUACAAGCUAAACACUUACCGAGCAAAAGAAAUUUGUCCCACUAUUAAAAAAGGUAUUUAGAAAGAUUAGGAAAAUCACUCAGCGUGCUAUGACACUAAUGUAGCAUUGGAGAUGCACUACCUGUAGAAGAACAAUAUUUCUUGUGAGUCAGGGUAUCAAUGUGUGGUGAGUAUAAUACAUUAUGUACUAAUCAACUAAAUUGAAAUAUAAAUAAUCUAUAUCUAAUGUCACAUUAGCACAGUGGCGGAGCCAAAUUUUUUAUCAAGGGUGUCAAAAUAUAAAGUAUUUUUUAUCAAGAGGUGUCGAAAUAUAAAGUAAAAAAGUAAACAUUGCUAUCAAAAAUAGAACACACAACCUUCAACAAGAUUUGCAACCCCUUAACCACUACACUAAACCUUCAACUUGUGUCAAGAUAUGUCAACACUUUUAUAUAUAGUCAUUAUAUUAAAUUUUUACCUAUAUAUACAAUGUAAUUUUUUGACGAAGGGAUGUCACUCGACAACCUUUCUCUCGGGUAGAUAUGCCCCUGCAUUAGCUUAACUUAUAUAUAUUUUCGAUAUUUCUUUGGCGGAGCAUUCUGGCUCAUCUCAACAUGUCAAUUCUUUGCCUAUACAAAUUGAGUAGACGACAUUCAAGACUUUUUCAUCUAUUUACUAUACAUGUUUUUCAUUCUUUAACCUAACAAGCACGUAGCAGAUCACUUUUUCUGUUUAACUUUUUAGCCACCUCUAAACUUCUAAUAUUCUUCAUUCUAUUUUGUUCAUUUUCAUAGCUUUCUUGUUGCUCGAAGAGUUUUUUUUCUCCUGUCUUUACAUCUCUCUUUUUUAAUCUAUGGUAUAUGUGUGAUAAUGACAAAUUGAAUUCGACUCUUUUAUAAUACAUAAAGGUUAUUUUUUAGAAUGUUAUCUAACGGUAGGAAAGUAUAUUCUCUCAUAUUCUCAAUUAAAAUUUGGAUCCCUAAUAACAAAAUUUGACAAAAUAUCGAGCAUGUAGAGCAACCCCAAAGCACAAUCAGAAAAUCUGCAAAAAUUGCUAGAAACCAAAUAUAAUCGACACACACCACAAACAGAGAAGAGGUAAAAGGGCUAAUCGUCACCAUCACAAACAAAAGAACCAAAAAUUCAAGCAAAGAGAUAACACUAACCUUAACACAGCGAGACCUACAAAAGAGAAGACUAUUGAACAGAGAAAGCUAAAGUAAACAGAUGAAAAUUGGGGAUAGUAUGAAAAGGUUUUAGGAAAGACAUAUGAAACAAUAAGGAACAAUUAACUUCUUUAUCAUGUCUAUUUAAUCUUGACUGUUAGCUCAGAAAAAAGAAGUCAUUAGACCUUCUCAUACUAAAACGUCUCAACAAUUACAAUCUCAUUUGAACUAGUUACAAUAUUUUAAUUACAUUUCAGAGAGAAACUACUCUAUUUUUAGAUGAAAUUUCACACAAGUUUAACUUGGCCUAUAGGGAAUUCAGGCCUUCCGAUUGAAGAGGUUCAAUGUUAAAUGAAAUAUUUGAUGUUGCAAUAUCAUGCGAAGUCAAAAGGGUAAUAGUCAGGUUAACUUUAUAGGUCUCAUCUUGAAGGGUGGAUCUUGGUAAACCUUAGAAGUUGAUGGGAGUAAAAUCCUCUAUUAUCAUAAAUGCAUACAUGGUGAGGUAAGGAUCUACAAUAACAAAACCAAAGUAAGAGAGAAGACGAUUCAGACCUUGCUCCAAAUCGUUGGCAAGUCCCAAUUAUUGAGCAUUCGAAUUACGUUUGUCUUAAUUGUCUGCAAAAUUAACCAAUAGAUUUCAUAAAUUUCCUUUUGAAGGAAUCUAACUUCAGAAAAAGUAACAAUUAGUAGAAGGACACUUAUGCAAUUCCUUAAACUUAUCAAUAUUAUGCCGUAAAAAUAGGGGAAGCAGGGCAAGCGAGGUACAAAUUUUGUCAAAUUCAGCCAACAAUGGGUCAGCAAUAUUUGAAUCUACAAUGGCUCAGAAGCAUCUGCAAAAGAUGAGAUCAACAGAAGGAUAUAAACACGACAGUUCCUGUAAAAAUAGAGUGAUAAACACUAUGCUUUUAAAGAGAGCGUCAACAACAUUUUUGAGCAUCGAUCAUUGUAGUAUAAUAUGAUCUAAUCAACCUGGUAAUCUUCAUUGUUGUUGUUUUCAGCAAGAGAACUCAUAUUUACUCAAACAUAUCUGCAAAAAUCGACAAACCAAAAGUAAGGUUUUUCCAUUGCGAAUUCGACAAACGAAAAGAAUUGAUUUCAUUGAAGAUUCCCUUUAGAUGAGCGAUGAAAAUUGAUGAAUAGUUGAGAGUUACAAUGAGAAACCCGUAGAAUGAAAGAAAAAACGUCGGAAUGAAAUAUAGGGCAUCUUACUUUUUAGAAAUUGGGGGAAACAUAUAUAUGGGGAAAAAUUAUUAUUUUCAGCUA
rnacentral:lncRNA from 1 species